GGCGAGAUAGCUCAGUUGGUUAGAGCAUGCGGCUCAUAUCCGCAGUGUCGGGAGUUCAAUUCUCUCUCUCGCUACCA
rnacentral:tRNA from 1 species